UACGUAGGUGGCAAGCGUUGUCCGGAUUUACUGGGCGUAAAGAGCGCGCAGGCGGUCGUUCAAGUCGCGUGUGAAAGCCCCCGGCUCAACUGGGGAGGGUCACGCGAUACUGAUCGACUCGAAGGCAGGAGAGGGUAGUGGAAUUCCCGGUGUAGUGGUGAAAUGCGUAGAUAUCGGGAGGAACACCAGUGGCGAAGGCGGCGAUCUGGGCAGACACUGACGCUGAGGUGCGAAAGCGUGGGGAGCAAACAGG
rnacentral:rRNA from 1 species